rnacentral:misc_RNA from 1 species
AACUUUCAACAACGGAUCUCUUGGCUCUCGCAUCGAUGAAGAACGCAGCGAAAUGCGAUAAGUAAUGUGAAUUGCAGAUUUUCAGGGAAUCAUCGAAUUUUUGAACGCACCUUGCGCCCCUUGGUAUUCCGAGGGGCUGGCCUGUUUGAGUGCCAUUAAAUUCUCAACUCCGAUUUGAUUUGUUUCUAAUCGGAGCUUGGACUUGGAGCGUGCUGGCGUCUAGUCGGCUCCUCUCAAAUGCAUCAGCGGAAUCUAACCUUUGGUUUCCGGACGUCGGUGUGAUAACAAAAGUUGCGCCGUCAUCCGACUUCAAAGUCCGCUUACAAUGGUCUUCGGACGACUCUCAUAUCAAAUUUGACCUCAAAUCAGGUAGGACUACCCGCUGAACUUAAGCAUAUCAAUAAGCGGAGGCU